rnacentral:lncRNA from 1 species
UUGCCGACCUCCUCGGCUGCUGCUCGUUGUCGUUCAGGGGCGACGCCUCGCUUCUUUUGUCGCACGGGCUUGUAGGUCGGCUUCACCUGAAGCCGGUGGACCAUGACCUCCGGAUCUAUCCCCGGCAUGUCUGCAGGCGACCAUGCGAAGACAUCCAUAUUGUCCCGUAGGAAGUUGACGAGGCGACUCCUCUCGUGUUCGCCAAGGCCAGAGCCGACCUGCACGGUUAGCUCGGGAAAGUUCUCUCGUAAGGGAACUUGAAUUAACAACUCACCAG